rnacentral:rRNA from 1 species
AACGCGAAGAACCUUACCUACCCUUGACAUGUCUAGUAUGGGCACCGGAGACGGAGUCCUUCAGUUCGGCUGGCUAGAACACAGGUGCUGCAUGGCCGUCGUCAGCUCGUGUCGUGAGAUGUUGGGUUAAGUCCCGCAACGAGCGCAACCCUCGCCUUUAGUUGCCAUCAUUUAGUUGGGCACUCUAGAGGGACUGCCGGUGAUAAGCCGGAGGAAGGUGGGGAUGACGUCAAGUCCUCAUGGCCCUUACGGGUAGGGCUACACACGUGCUACAAUGGUGGUGACAGUGGGCAGCGACACAGUGAUGUGAUGCUAAUCUCAAAAAGCCAUCUCAGUUCAGAUUGUACUCUGCAACUCGAGUACAUGAAGUUGGAAUCGCUAGUAAUCGUAGAACAGCAUGCUACGGUGAAUACGUUCCCGGGUCUUGUACACACCG